ACUUUCCUACUUCAAUUAGGAAACUUUGUAUCUUCAAUUCUUCAACUUCAAAACACAUUCCUAGCUUCAUCAAUCCUUCAAAUUCGUCCAUCCCUUGUGCUUCAUGUGCAUGAACUCCAUUCUAGCCCAAUUUUGCUCCAAAAUGCUCCAAAUUGCAUCCUUUUGCUCACUUUGUCUCUAAAACCUGAAAACACAUGAAAAUAG
rnacentral:lncRNA from 1 species